rnacentral:lncRNA from 1 species
UUGGCUCCUGUUAUGCUGUGCUGUGCAAGUGCUGAGCGCGAUUUGCUAAGACGACAGCUGCAUGAAAUCUCGGAAUCGCCUAGCAUGAUCUUCGAAAAUACAUGAUCGUCUCAUCUGUACAGAGGAAACACUGUAAGUUGUACACCAGAUAGAAAGUGGGCGUCAACGUUGUCUUUGAAGGACGGGGAUGCAAGAUGCUUUAAAAAAUUUGGAGAGGCAUUGAAAAGCAGGUGAGGGCAGUCAAGAAUGAAUCAAAAUAUUGUGAGUUGAGAUCAAGUAGUGCCUCACUUUAAGGCAGCGAACAGUCGUCGAUAUUCUUGAGUGUUUCUUCUGGAUUGGGGGACUGGCUUGCUGACAAUUCCUCCAGAGGCUGAUGGGAAAUAUCUUUCUGGAAUCAUAGGAUCCCUUCUCCACCAGCAUGCAGUCGGCGGAGCUUGACUGGGGGCCAGAGGAUGACUGGGACGCUGGCUUUGACUGGGAUGCUGUUGAACAGGAGGCAUCGAAACGGCUGAAAGUAACACCAGGAUACAGACUGCAGGCGGAGGGUUCUCACAAACAAG